rnacentral:misc_RNA from 1 species
GAGGAGUCGGAAGGUGCCAGUGAGGGAGGUGGUGCGGAUUGCGCUGGGGGCUGCUGAGGGACUUCGGUUCAUGAAUGAUCAUGGUGUCGCUUAUAGGGAUCUGAAUGUGCAGAGGAUACUGUUGGAUAGGCAGGGGAAUGCCUGUCUCGGUGACAUGGGCGCCGUUACGUCCAACAACAAUGCUGGGGAGGUGACGGAGUAUGAGACUGCCGGGUAUCGGUGGUUAGCUCCUGAGAUUAUAGCAGGGGACCCAGAGAGCGUAACAGAGACUUGGAUGAGCAAUGUAUACAGCUUUGGCAUGGUUGUCUGGGAGAUGAUAAGUGGUGAAGCAGCCUACUCUUCCUACUCUCCAGUUCAAGCUGCAGUCGGGAUUGCCGCCUGUGGGCUGAGGCCAGAGAUAGCUAAAGAUUGCCCGCAGGUUCUGAGGUCGCUAAUGCUGAGGUGCUGGAACAACUGCCCGGCCAAGCGACCUCAGUUUUCUGACAUCAUUGCGAUCUUGCAGAGAUAUGACAGCAGAUGAGGGUGAGGUCCUCCCUCACUGUAUGAGUUCGAGUUUCUCCACAAUUUUUG